rnacentral:rRNA from 1 species
UACAGAGGGGGCAAGCGUUGUUCGGAAUUACUGGGCGUAAAGGGCGCGUAGGCGGCCUGUUAAGUCGGACGUGAAAUCCACGGGCUCAACCCGGGAACUGCGUCCGAUACUGGCAGGCUUGAAUUCGGGAGAGGGAUGCGGAAUUCCAGGUGUAGCGGUGAAAUGCGUAGAUAUCUGGAGGAACACCGGUGGCGAAGGCGGCAUCCUGGACCGAGAUUGACGCUGAUGCGCGAAAGCCAGGGGAGCAAACGGG